GAUGAACGCUGGCGGCGUGCCUAACACAUGCAAGUCGAGCGAACGGACGAGAAGCUUGCUUCUCUGAUGUUAGCGGCGGACGGGUGCGUCACAUGUGGAUAACAUAACUAUAAGACUGGGAUAACUUCGGGAAACCGGAGCUAAUACCGGAUGAUAUAUUGAACCGCAUGGUUCAAACGUGAAAGACGGUCUUGCUGUCACUUAUAGAUGGACCCGCGUUGCAUUAGCUAGUUGGUAAGGUAACGGCUUACCAAGGCAACGAGGCAUAGACGACCUGAGAGCGUGGUCCGCCACACUGGAACUGAGACACAGUCCAGACUCCUGCGGGGGGCAACAGUAGGGAAUCUUCCGCGAUGCAGCAAAGGGGAACGGAGCAACGCCGCGUGAGUGAUGAAGGUCUUCUGAUCGUAAAACUCUGUUAUUAGUAAAGAUCAAAAGUGUAAGUAACUGUGCACAUCAUGACAGUACCUAAACAGAAAGCCACGGCUAACUACGUG
rnacentral:rRNA from 1 species